AUUCGGAACUUGGAGCCUCAUGUUCCUUUCAGUAUGUAAGGACAAUUAUUGACUUAGAGACUACACCUCUUCUGUUGGGUGUUGGGGAACAUGGGAACCUGUAUCUCACCUGCACAUCUUGGCUUUGAACUCCAUCUGGGACCAGGCACCACCUACCACUAGAACCCAGAGUUUUGUGUCUCUGUCCACCAUCACUUACUCCCGGGUCCCUGUGAUGACAACAGCUGUCCUGGCAGGAUACUUAACUAUCUAUCUAUCAUGAAGCUUUCGUCAAUGUGGACCCAAUGUCCAAAUUAUAUUAUGAAUCACA